CCACAGACACUCUCUCUCUCUCUCUCUCUCUCUCGUGCGCAUGGAUUGAAUGAGUGGGCGGAGUCAGAGCGGAAGUUGUGUUCGAGUUGUGCAGGCUUGUGUCACCUGACUUAAAGAAGGCAUUGUUUGAAGGGCUUGAUCAGCACCUCCCACGGCUCCUGCAGUUGUACAACACCGAGAGGCAGUGAAAUACCCGAAAUCCAACAUGUGAUGACCCGCAUUGAUCAAGAGACAGGAGCCUGUGGUUUCCUACUCUGAACGCUGUUCGAGCCAUGUCGACUUCAGGAGGCCCCACUCCACCCUUCACCACCCUGUCAGUCAC
ensembl:lncRNA